GCCGUGGUGGUUCAGUGGUAGAAUUCUCGCCUUCCAGGUGGGAGACCCAGCUUUGAUUCCUGGCCAAUGCA
rnacentral:tRNA from 1 species